CGAAACAAUAAACUAACGAAUCUC
rnacentral:siRNA from 1 species